UAGCACAAGAGGAUGUUUGCGGUGACACAUAUGAUUGAUUUUGACAGGUAAUUCAACACAUUUUUUAUGGAGAUGGAAUCCACAAUCAAGAGAAAAGUAUGUAGAACUUAGCAACGGUUUCCAACACCCGAAACACUGAAAACUUUCAAGUUCUUCACCAUCAUUUCCGGUGGAAAUCAAUGGAUCUUCAAGAGCAAACAUGUUGAAGCUCUUCAAAAAUUUUUCGAGCAAUGUUAUAUGUAAAUAAAGCACAUGUGAUAUGAAAGUCUAAUCCACAAGAGCAAUGAUAAACGAAGGCCUUACAUGUCUUAUUACAAAAAUCGCAAAUGCAGCGUACUCCUUGAGCAUAAGGUGACUUUUGCAGGAGGAGAAGCGGAUGGUUGCGAUGAAAAGGGUGAUUCAUCUCUGAGGAUGCCUCAGCACAUUCUUAUGGAGGUGAAACCCACACUCCACACAGCUAAAACUUGGAGCUGACAGUGACACCUCCUCCCCACACGUUGAGCAGUAAGCUUCUUCACUUUGAUUGCUCUGCUUUUCAAUAAACACCAGUGGAUGUUGGUGCCCAAAAUUUUCAGACUCACUCAUCUCUCUUUCCGAUUCGCACCUAUACCACAAUAGGUUCCAAAAGGAAAGGGGAACUUUGGCUAUAACAAAGAAAGAUGUAAUAGGGCCAAUGCUUAUAAAAUAAAGAGAGUGUAGUAUUUCUAAUGCUAAUACCUUAUUCCUUGCGUGCCGACACAUUCAAAAUGGAAAAAAGAAGAAAGAAUCCCACAAAGGCAGAGACCUAACUAAACCAAGAAACAAGGUAGAUGCUUUGAUGGCAGGCAUAGCAAAAUAUAACGGCAUAUAAAAGUAAAAAGCGAGUAUGAGGAUUGCAUGCUCUAUUCAAGUUUGAAACUUUUACUUUGUAAGUUUAAAGUUAGAGCAUCCCUUAGGAUACAAUGCAAGCUACUGAGGUCAAUGGUAUAACAAUUCUAGGCUCUGGCAGCAAUGAAGUUGUCUAAAUUUAAAAUCCUUCCAAUAUAUCUAAUGAAACAUGUAUGUAGAAUACAAUAUAAAUAAAUAAAUAAAAACAUUAUUAAUUUAAAUUAUUAAUUAUUAAUUUAUUACAAUAUUGAUGGACCUUGAUGUGUAUAAUUUAUUUUAUAUGAACUAAAAGAUUUGGUCUUAGGAAGAACAUAAUAUAAUGAAUACUUUUAUAAUAACCAAAACAAAUAAAAAAAACAUUAUUAAUUUAAAUUCAAAAAAUCAAGAAAUAUAAUAAAGCACUAUUAUAUAGUCAGGCUCAAGGGAAGAAUUCUUAUAUAUUUUGUGUCUUCCUAAUUAAGGAAAUUGAAGGAGGAAGAAGCUGGUGGGGGAAUUCGUUGCCUUCUUGAAGAAGCUUAUAUCAUAGGUUUCAUGAAAAGUUAUCUGCCACCAAAGUUGAAAAACUGCUGCUAGCCUUGGUUGGUUACUGGUUUCUUUAGGCUCAUUACGUUUUCUUUUUCCAAAAUUGUUGCUUUUGUGUCGUGUUGGUCAGUUGAACCAUUUGGCUAUUGCAGUUUCCAGUGACAAAAUCACAAUAUUGCUACAUGUUGGGCUAUGGUUAAAUAGUAACAGAGUUAAGAGGACAAGUUUGAGCAAUUGAAUAUAGGUAUUCUUUUAUGACAAAAAAAUUUAGUAGAGGGACAAAUGAUACUAAUAACAAUCCAUUUAAAUCAGCGAAACUUUGUACCAAAGAAAAGGAUCGAAGUUCCAUGUCAUACAUGUGAGAGGUCAUCUUUUUGGAACAUAUUACUCCUUUCUUCCAAAGUUGGCAGCACCCCCUCAAUUAACUCUCAACAGUGAAAGUAAUACAUUAAACAUGCCAACUACCUAAUCUUGCCCUACACUGUAGUACAACAUGCUUUUUGGAUUUCUUUUUCCAAUUUGUGCAAUAAAAUAUUAAAAAAAAAAGGCAGUAUGUUCCGUUUGUGACAGAGGGCCUCCAAGCUUAAGCAGGUACCAGACUAGGAAGAACAUGGAAAACUCAAGUAACUUACAAAGGAUAAACAACUCCACUUCAAAUAAGCAUCACACCAGUCAAAAUUUUUAACAAUCACAUUUUAGAUUGGCUGGAAUACAAUCUUUUCUUUUUUUUCCUUCAAGAGAUGCAAAUGGUACUCCUGCACACAUUUUCCCACAAAUGAAACCCAUAUAAACAUCAACUGUAACCGGAAAUUAUUAUAGAAUUUAAAGGUCAGUCAUAUAUAAGAAUCAUCAAUAAAUUAUGGGAAUAUGACCAUAUGCUGCAAAAUGUCCUUUUGCGAGUCAAUCAAGAAAAUUGUUUCCUACUGGCUGGACUCUAACCAAAAAUAUAGCUAUUUAAAGAGUCAAAUUUUACGCAGAAGUCCUGAACAUACCUUGUUUCUUAGUAAAGAGGCGCAUCCUAUCUCCACAUUCGUCUUACCACCAACGACCAUGGUUGCUUUAGGCUUUUGUACUACUAUGAGCCAUCACUGACCAAGCCUCUACAACAGAUGCAGCAUAGAUGAGGACAGAUUCCUGUUUCUGAGAGCAGCUAAAUAUUCAAAAUUUCUCAAAAGCUGCUAUUCCAGCCAAAUCAUGGGCAUUUGUGUACCAAAAAAGAAAUGUACAAUCCAGUAAAAGAAUCAGAUAAUAUCCCCGAAACUCCCUACCAGGAGUGCAGAACCCAAUCUAGCUACAAGGGUGUAAAUUAUAUGUCUAUUAAAUAUACAUGAUCUCUAGUGACAGGUGCACUGUGAUCAUUGACAAUCUCAUUUACCAAGUGAAUGGAAAAGUUGACAACCUGUUUGCAGCAUAUACCUUCUCAACACCCCAGUCUAAACAUUUCUUUAAAAGAAAUUCAGGAAGGGCAAUUAAUUGAGUCAUCAGAAUCAUAUUCGGAAAAUAAAUCACAAUCUGACUCCACUUCAGAAUCAAGACCACUUUCACCCGCUUUAUCACCAAGAACAAUCUUUGAUGGGUCCUCAAGACCUACAUUGGCAGUUUUCUUGUAUAAGCCCCUGCUUCUAUCCAUAAAUCCUUUUCUCAUCAUGCUUGCAAAUCUUUCUCUAAUAUCAACAAGUGGAUGUCUCUGAAUAAGUUGUUGACAAUCAUAGGCUUCCCUAAGAACAACAGUUUGUGUAUCACACAUCUUGGAAAUAUAAAAGAUGCCAGGAUGGCGCUCAAACACCUUAGUAAACUUCUGAGGCAGUGACAAUGGUUUGUGUAGAUUACUCACAUUUUGCCAUUCAGUUUUCUUCUGUAUGGUAAGGUGAAGAAGCUCAUGAAACACGCCCACAAUUCUCUUCUCUGACACAUCAGUACGUGGAUCCAAGUGAGAGGCAUCAACAUAAGGUGACGUAUAAGGUAGUUUCUGCCAUUCUCUUAACCACUCCGUGCAUUUCCUCUUCAAUCCAAAACCCCUUGUAAAUCCUAUUGGAAAUGCUAAACAGUUAUUUUUCAAAUCUUCCUCCAUUUGCAGAAAAGCAUUCUUCUCUAAUUGGGAGACAGCAAGUGUAUCAUCCCAUGAUAAAAGUUUCAAACCAAAGCGAUCGUCAGCAACGUGAACAAAAGAAAAUAAAUCAGGGUAACAUGGAAUGAAGGUUUUGCUGUAAUUAUAAGGCAAUCCCAUAUCCCAUUUCAGCUGGUCGAUAGUUUGUAAGGGAAGGGUCCUAUCCUUGGUAAGCAUCAGCAAUUUGCAGAGCCUGUCAAGCAAAUCAAUCACACUCUCCUGGAUAACACCAACUUCUUCAUGGUAAAGAUUUAAGGCUUCGGCGGUCAACUCAAAGCAAGGAACACGAGUGCCACUGCUGUCAAACACAUAAGACUCAUGAAAAGUAGUAGGGUAUCUCCUCAUAAAUGUGGAUAGCUUAAGAUCAUGGGGCAGACCGAGUUGACCACGAUACCAGGUAAGAUGGUAAAUGGGGAGACGGCAAUUGGAAGCAGAGGAAAUGAUGGAAACAAGAUUGCAGGCUGCUCUUAAAUCUCUUUCAGCAGCAAUAACGGCAUCUAAGGCUUUAUCUUUAACCCAUUUCAACUUAACAUAAACUAGACUGAAAUUCUGCUGGUAAUUAAAUCCCCUCCUCAACAAACAUGAAAAGCUAGAAACUUUAGCUUUUCCACACAAAAACCACUAACCCAUGUCCUUAUUUAAAUAGAAAAAUGAUUAUAAAUCAAUAAUAAGAUGCUCCCAAGUUCACCAAUAAAACAGCCUUAGCAACAUCUACAGUGACAAAGACAAAUACCCAGAUUAAGAUUUUUGGUAAAUUCUGCAUAAACUGCUUGGUAAAGUAAAUAAACAAGAGAAAAAGACCAAAAAGGAAAAAUAGUUAAUUCCUCUGAGACAAUUUAUCAAACAUAAUGCCGCGAUAUGAAAACUGCUUACCUUAAUGAGGCUGAGCUGAAACACCUCAACGAUUAAAACUUGGAUGUCCUUUUAGAGGUUUUAAGUUUGAAUCUUGAGAAGAGACUGAGAAGCGUGAGAUUAUAAUCAUUACCAAAAAAAAAAUUGAAAGCAAAAUAUUUUAAAAAGUCGUGCGAAAUUUUCAAUUUGAAAGUAAAUUUGUGUCUGAGUGCAGCAAAAGCACUUUUAUUUUCAGGUAUUAACCAAGUACAGUAAGGAUUUAUAACAAUUUGAGUGCAUGAAUGGCAGGAGCAAGAAUGUUUUUGGAAGCAUAUUCAGUUGCUUGCAUUGAACACUAAACGGAAUGGGAGUGUAAUUUGCCACAUAUUGGUACAAAAACUAGUUUAAUUAGAAAAAAAAAUUUGAGACCCAAAUUUUACUUUCCUAGAAAAAAAAAUAACAUGCCUAAAUAAUCAUAUGUUUUGUAUUUACAUCUAUGAUUAGAGUUUUAUGUAAUUUUAUCAAUAUAAUAGAGUUAGAUUAAACCCUUUCAUAAGUUUAAACUAUCACUUCUUUAUUUUUAUUUUUCUGUUUUAUCAUUUAAGAAUAGUUAAAAUUGAAACUUAUUUUUCUUCAAAAAAAAAACUUAUUUAUGAAAUUAUGAUAAAAAUUUUCAAAUUUGACUUGAAAACUUUUACAUGUAAUGAAGUAAAAUAAAACUUUAAUCUUCACUUUCCAAGUUCAAAUUUUAUGGUUGAAAUAAAAAAAAUUAGCAACAAAAAGAGUUAAUGGAAGAAUGAGAUGAAAUAAUUUCAUACAAAGUCAACAAGUGAUACAUUUAAACAAUACAACAUGUACCAACUUUAUUGUCAUUACAAUCACACUGUCAAAUUAAAGGGAAUUUCUAGACUAAAUAAACAAAAGCAAUCCAAACCUCACACAUUCUAAGUUCAGAUGCCUACAUUACAUUUAAACUUAUAAUUGAAAAAUAAGUUAUAAUUACAAAAAUAACAAGCAUGACAAGUAACAAAGUAUGGACCAUACUCUGCCUGGGUUUCCUUGCAAAUUAAGUGGAAGUUUUCAAGUAUCUUGACCAAUAACACUUCUGUCCUGCCUUUUCUCAAGAAGAGAAUUACUCUCAUAGAUCAAUUGGUUCUGUACAUUUCCAAUGGACAAUAUAGUUACAUCCAAGAGUAGCACAUUCAAGAGCCAAUUCUUUACAAGGCUCACCACAUUCAAUGCAUUGAGGGUAGUAAUAAAUCUUCUUCACAAAGAUGAGAGGAUGUGGAUGAUCUCCUUCUUUGUAGGUACUCCCGAGUUUGAUAUAUCGAUAGUCUUCAAGAACACAAUCCUUAUGAGCAGAAGUAUCACAAGUUGCACAAUGAUAAAACCAAUAAUUUGAAUUUCUUCUCUCCUCACAAAUGUCACAAUAAUGACAUUCUGAAUAAUCAUUAUCAUCUUUAUAAGUGAGUACAAAAACAUGUUCAUCGCAUUUGUGUCGAGUUGUAGUUGGUAGAGCAACACAUGUCACACAUAAAGCAAAAUUGCAACCCUUACAACAGUAUCCUUCAUCCAUGUCAUCACCACAACCACAACACUUCCCUUCAUACUCGACAUAAAGAAGGAGGGGGUGUUUAUGUCCUUGACAUGUUAGAGUAUCAGGAGUUAGAGACAUACAUCGAAGGCAUACACGAUCGCCACAUUCGUUACAUCUAUAGGCAAAGCCAUUGGAUAGGUAACGACAUGAUUCACAUCUAAAAAUGCAGUCAGAAAUGAGGAUGAAGGAACUUUGCUGGCAAUAAUGAAACCAAACAUGCUUCAUCAUCUUAGGUAAUUCAGCACAGGCUUUAUGAAGAAAGAAAUCACAUUCUAAACAAUAGUAAAAGGAAGCUGAGAUAGGUAACAUGCACGCCUCACAAUAUUUAUCAUACUCCGCAAUUUUCUCACUUAACAUCAACUCAUGCAUAUGCUUGAAAUGUUUUAUUUUUGUGGCUUCUCCAGCAUCAUUCCUCUCAAUAACACAAGUGAUGGAGUCGAUAGAUUCACCAGGCAAAAGUGCCAAACUAUUCGUAGAUUCCUCAUCUUGAUUUUCUGGUGAGACUUCAUAAUACCAAUUUUUUUCCUUUGUUGCACAAUUCACAUGGGCAGUAAUUUUGCAAUCUGAACAAAAGUAACAGCCGUGCGCUGCAUUGACGUCUUCAUGACAAAUUAUGCAAUCCCAACUCUCAAAAUUGUCUUCAUGAAGGAAAUAUUUGUGAAAAAUGCGAUGGUGAUGCCACUUGUGUUUGAUAAUGCGUGGUAAUGAAAUGCAUUUUUUAUGAACUAUAAUGCUGCAUGUGCUACACAUGUAGGCAGCACAAUUUCCUUCAGUACCACAUGCACUACAAAUGAAAGGGAAUUGUAUCCAAAACAGGGUGAAUGGGUGUUGAUGACUUUUAUCUUCAAUGAUGGGUGGGGGUGCGGUUGAUACACACUCAAUGUGAACAGCAACCUUGCAAGGCAAACAACAAUAAACAAAUCCUCUUCGUCGGGUUUCUUCGCAUAUGUUGCAAGAAAGCCGUAGACUAUUAAAUUGUAGAACAAGAGGAUGUUUGCGGUGACACAUAUGAUUGAUUUUGAGAGGUAAUUCAGCACAUUUUUUAUGGAGAUGGAAUCCACAAUCAAGAGAAAAGUAGGUAGAACUUAGCAACGGUUUCCAACACCCGAAACAAUGAAAACUUUCAAGUUUUUCACCAUCGUUUUCGGUGGAAAUCAAUGGCUCUUCAAGAGCAACAUGUUGAAGCUCUUCAACAUUUUGUUGAGCAAUAUUAUAUGUAAAUAAAGCACACGCGAUAUGAAAGUCUAAUCCGCAAGAGCAAUGAUAAAUGGAAGCCUCACAUAUCUCAUCACAAAAAUCACAAAUGCAGUCUAACCCCGGAGCAUAAGGUGAACUUUGCAGGAGGAGGAGAGGAUGCUUGGGAUGAAAAGGGUGAUUGAUCUCCAGGGGUGCCUCAGCACAUCUCUUAUGGAGGUAAAACCCACA
rnacentral:lncRNA from 1 species